UAGGUUUGCCGUAAGGAAAUGUGGUGUAGUUCGCGUGCACGAAAGUGCCGGAAGAUAUCCUGCGUCUGGCUCCAAACUCGCCGUAUGCGUGGCGCGCCAGGCAAAUGCGGACCAACGAUUUUCAUGCCGUGGAGUGUGUUCCCUUUGUCUUGGGUGGUCGUGGAAAGUUUUAUAGACGUCGCAAUGAAAUGUGUAUUAUUAGCGUGCCUCUGCUCGUCCAUUACGCAACGGCAUGUAUGCUGGGAUCAAAAUCGUCGACGCAGCACUCGCAACUCGGAGAGCUCUUUUCGAUCUCAUCGUACUGUUCAAAAGUGGUGAGGCCGUGGCCCGCAACAGUGUCCACUAAAAGGAGGAGCCCCCAGAAAUGCAGACCCCAUAUGAGUGCCUGCAGCAGCACGGCUGGAUGCUCAUGUCAGGCUUUACCAUGGCGGAGUACCAGGCGGAACCAACGAGGUUAAAAACUAGCCUUUCCUCGCUGCUUUACCGGGAAGUGAAAAUAGUGGGCGAUCAUGUAAGAAUGAACUUGCAACAUGUGAGCAGUAGCCAAAGCUCCAUACAGGUCAUGCUG